AGGAGAGUUUGAUCCUGGCUCAGGAUGAACGCUAGCUACAGGCUUAACACAUGCAAGUCGAGGGGCAGCAUGAUCGAAGCUUGCUUUGAUUGAUGGCGACCGGCGCACGGGUGAGUAACGCGUAUCCAACCUUCCCUAUAGUAGAGGAUAGCCCGGCGAAAGUCGGAUUAAUACUCUAUGUUUUCCAAUGCAGACAUCUAAGUUGGAACAAAGGUUCACCGCUAUAGGAUGGGGAUGCGUCUGAUUAGGUUGUUGGCGGGGUAACGGCCCACCAAGCCAACGAUCAGUAGGGGUUCUGAGAGGAAGGUCCCCCACAUUGGAACUGAGACACGGUCCAAACUCCUACGGGAGGCAGCAGUGAGGAAUAUUGGUCAAUGGGCGAGAGCCUGAACCAGCCAAGUAGCGUGCAGGAUGACGGCCCUAUGGGUUGUAAACUGCUUUUAUACGGGGAUAAAGUGAGGGACGUGUCCCUUAUUGUAGGUACCGUAUGAAUAAGGACCGGCUAAUUCCGUGCCAGCAGCCGCGGUAAUACGGAAGGUCCGGGCGUUAUCCGGAUUUAUUGGGUUUAAAGGGAGCGCAGGCCGACUGGUAAGCGUGACGUGAAAUGUAGCCGCUCAACGGCUGAACUGCGUCGCGAACUGUCAGUCUUGAGUGAGUUCGAUGUUGGCGGAAUUCGUGGUGUAGCGGUGAAAUGCUUAGAUAUCACGAAGAACUCCGAUUGCGAAGGCAGCCAACAAGGCCUUUACUGACGCUAAAGCUCGAAGGUGCGGGUAUCGAACAGGAUUAGAUACCCUGAUAGUCCCCU
rnacentral:rRNA from 1 species